UUCACUAAAUUUGUGGUUGGUUCAUGUUUACAAUAAUACUCUAGUUAAGUAGUCUUGAUAUGCUUAUUUUCACGGAUUGAUAAACCUUCAGCAAUACUUCUAAGGGAAAAGCUACAACAGAUUUGUGCACUUGUGGUCUAACACAUGGUGUUGUUGGUCCGCACUAGCACAUCUUAUAAUGCACUAUAUAAUCCUAGUCUCUAUCCGCCGCAACCACGCAUACCUUGGAGUUCACCCUUGUAGCAUCAACAUGUGAAAUGAGCCCCUCUAAGGCCUGUUGGGAUACGAGGUAGGCUACACUAGCGCAAAUCAAAAUUUCUACCGCGUAUAACCAGGAAGAACUGCCGUAUAAGGAUCACGGGAUUACCACUCGACGCACUACUGGUGCGGAAGAUGUAGAUAUGCGUCGAUGCAGUGAAGACGAUCACGUAGUCGUACGUAGUCGAACAACGUAGUAGUCGUACGUAGUCGAUCACGUCCAGCAACUCCUCAGCAGCUCGUCCACGUGCACAGCAAGAUUGCCUCCGGUACCGCGGCUCGUCGUCGGCUCGUCGGUGGCUCGUCGGCGGCUCGUCGGCGGCUCAUCCAAGUGCUGCAGGCGCAACACCUCCAAGGUAUCCACACGUGCAGGGAGGAAGCGUCGCAAGCCGGAUUGCUAGAUCCGCGAGUUGCAACAGGCGAGGGCGUGGGAGGCGCGGCAAGUGUGUUCAGCCAAAAAGGUGUAAACCCUAGGGCGCCCCCACCCCUCUAUUUAUAGAGGUUCCUGAUGGGCCUCUGGAUCCGAGGCCCAUUAGUACUCCUAAACCUAAUCCAACUCGGAUCAGAUCCGAAUUGGGCUUCCAGCCCCUUAAGUGUGUGACCCUAUGGGUUCGGAUACGUAUAGACAUGGCCCGAGUACUCCUACUCGGCCCAAUAGUCGGUAGCGGCCUCUAGCAAGACGUGCCAACUCCUAUACGCAUACGAAGAUCAUAUCAGACGAACCAUCACAACAUAAUAUACAUGCUAUUCCCUUUGCCUCACGAUAUUUGGUCUAGCUUCAAGCCGACCGCUCUUUCUCGAUCCUGUGAUUCGGAAUCCCUUUGUAGGUUAACUUUUAACCGUACGUAGCAUGGCCAUGCAUUUUCGGAUCCGAUCACUCGAGGGGCCCAGAGAUAUCACUCUCAAUCAGAGAGGGGCAAAUCCCAUCUUGAUUGACCAUGUCUCAUAGCAUGCUUCUUGACAAACCCGAAAGCUACCUUUAUAACUACCCUGUUACGGCGUAGCGUUUGAUAGCCCCUAAGUAGGUCGAUCCACAUCUAGAAUACAUGCGACAAUCUCAGGUCUAAGGACAAAGCGUAUAUGUUAUUUAAAGAGAGAACUACUUCUCAUGUUGGGUCAGUCCUAACACAUGUCUCCACAUGUGUCCACAUUAUUAGUUCAACAUCUCCAUGUCCAUGACUUGUGAAACAUAGUCAUCAACUAAUACAUGUGCUAGUCUAAUAUUCAUGUGUGUCCUCACAUGAACUCCGACUAGGGACAACUUUAGAAUAACCAUACAAGUAAAGAGUUUCACAUACAAUUCACAUAAUUGCAAAUCAAUUCAAGUAUCCUUUAAUGGAUAUUCAAUGAACACAAUAUACAAAUCAUGGAUACAAAUGGAAUAUCAUCAUCUCUAUGAUUGCCUCUAGGGCAUACCUCCAACAGUCUCCCACUUGCACUAGAGUCAAUCUAGAAGGUACCUAAUACCCAUAGCUCUUACAUGUGCAUCAUGCUUAGCCUGCGGGAGUGGUUUUGUCAACGGAUCAGAAAUGUUCAGAUCCGUGUGUAUUUUGCAUAUCUUGAUCUCACCCCGGUUAACGAAGUCUCGAAUGAGAUGAAAUCGCCGCAUUACGUGUUUGUUCUUCUGGUGGUUCCUUGGCUCCUUUGCUUGUGCAAUUGCCCCAUUAUUAUCACAGUAGAGAUUCAAUGGGCUGGACGCAUUCGGGAACACACCAAGCUCAAUGAGGAAAUUCCUUAUCCAAACACCUUCCUUCGCGGCUUCCGAAGCCGCGAUGUACUCGGCUUCUGUCGUAGAAUCGGCCACCGUCUCCUGCUUGGAACUCUUCCAACUAACAGCACCACCAUUUAGCGUGAACACAAAUCCUGAUUGUGACUUUGAAUCAUCUCUGUCAGUUUGGAAACUAGCAUCGGUGUAACCUGUUACAACGAGCUCCUCCUGACCUCCAUAGACGAGGAACAUAUCUUUAGUCCUUCUCAAGUACUUAAGAAUGUUUUUCACCGCUGUCCAGUGACUCUCACCUGGAUCAGAUUGGUGUCUGCUUGUCAUACUUAGCGCAUAUGAAACAUCUGGGCGAGUACUUAUCAUUGCAUACAUGAUAGAUCCAAUAGCCGAGGCAUAUGGCACUCUACUCAUGCGAUCCCGCUCAUCAGCAGUCGAAGGACACUGAGUCUUGCUGAGAUGUAUGCCAUGUGACAUAGGCAAGAACCCUUUCUUUGCCUCUUCCAUGCUGAACCGCUUCAACACUUUGUCAAUGUAAGUAUCUUGGCUUAAACCUAUAAGCCUUCUCGAUCUAUCUCUAUAGAUCUUAAUGCCCAGAAUAUAUGCCGCCUCCCCUAAGUCCUUCAUCGAAAAACUAUUUUUCAGUGAAGUCUUUACGGACUCAAGCAUAGGAAUGUUAUUUCCAAUCAGUAAUAUGUCAUCCACAUAUAAGAUUAGAAAUACUACAGAGCUCCCACUAACCUUCUUGUAAACACAAGACUCUUCUUCGUUCUUGGUGAAGUCAAACCCUUUGACCACUUCAUCAAAACGAAUGUUCCAACUCCUAGAUGCUUGCUUCAAUCCAUAAAUGGAUCUCUGAAGCUUGCAUACCUUUCCAGCAUUUUUCGGAUCGACAAAACCCUCGGGCUGUAUCAUAUACACGUCCUCAGCUAGGUUUCCAUUCAGGAAAGCUGUCUUGACAUCCAUCUGCCAUAUCUCAUAAUCGAAAUAUGCAGCUAUAGCUAGAAUAAUCCGAAUGGACUUAAGCAUCACUACGGGCGAGAAGGUCUCGUCAUAGUCAACUCCUUGAACUUGUCGAAAACCUUUUGCGACAAGUCGUGCUUUAUAGAUGUGAACAUUUCCAUCCAUGUCCUUUUUCUUCUUAUAGAUCCACUUGCACUUUAUGGCUUUAACACCAUCAGGCGGGUCAACCAAGUUCCAAACUUGAUUGUCUCCCAUGGACUCUAUUUCGGAUUUCAUGGCACUCUGCCAUUUUUCGGAGUCUGGGUCCAUCAUUGCUUCUGCAUAUGUCGCAGGCUCAUCAUUGUCCAACAAUAAUAUUUCUCGCAUUUCGCGGAGCCUUGCUGACCUUCGUGGUUGUGGCGGUGCUUCUCUUGCCAUGGGUAUCUCAACUUGUUCUGCUACGUUAGCAUCACUCAUUGAUUCUUGCCCGAUCGGCUCAUCUUGAACUUCUUCAAGAUGCACUGUCUUUCCACUCUUUUCUCCUUUGAGAAACUCUUUCUCUAGGAAAACCCCGUUCCGAGCGACAAACACUUUGCCUUCUGAUCGGUUGUAGAAAUAAUAUCCCAAAGUUUCCUUUGGAUAUCCCACGAAAAUGCACUUAUCCGACUUGGGUGUGAUCUUGUCCGACUGAAGUCGCUUGACAAACACUUCACAUCCCCAAAUCUUUAGAAAAGACAGACUAGGAACCUUUCCAGUCCAUAUCUCAUAUGGUGUCUUAACUACGGAUUUAGAUGGUACCCUAUUUAGUGUGAAAGCUGCUGUUUCUAGAGCGUAUCCCCAAAAUGACAACGGUAGGUCCGACUGGCUCAUCAUUGAUCGAACCAUGUCUAACAAAGUUCGAUUACGUCGCUCGGACACACCAUUUCUCUGAGGUGUUCCAGGCGGCGUAAGUUGUGGAACAAUUCCGCAACUCUUUAGAUGAUUGCUAAACUCGUGGCUCAAAUACUCGCCUCCACGAUCAGAUCGUAAGGCCUUAAUUUUCUUGCCACACUGAUUUUCAACUUCAUUCUGGAAUUCCUUGAACUUUUCAAAGGUUUCAGACUUGUGCCUCAUCAAGUAGACAUAGCCAUAUCUACUAAAAUCAUCAGUGAAAGUUAUGAAGUAUUGGAAUCCUCCUCUAGCCGUCGUGCUCAUUGGUCCGCAUACAUCACUAUGUACGAGUUCCAACAAGUCUACUGCUCUCUCAGGAAAUCCUGUGAAAGGCGUCUUGGUCAUCUUGCCUAGCAAGCAAGCCUCGCAUGUCUCGUAUGAUUCAAAAUCAAACGAAGUUAGAAGUCCAUCAGAAUGGAGCUUCUUCAUGCGCUUUUCACUUAUAUGACCCAAACGACAAUGCCACAAGUAGGUAGGACUCAAAUCAUUAGGCCGAGGCCUUUUAGCACUUACAUUACAGACAGGUGAACCAUCAAGAUUUAAAACAAACAAUCCAUUCACAAUGGGUGCAAAAGCCAUAAACAUAUUAUUCUUAGAGAUUACACAACCAUUGUUUUCACUCGCAAAUGAAUAACCAUCCUUCAUCAAACAUGAAGGAGACAAAAUGUUUCGACUUAAACUAGGAACAAAAUAACAAUUAUUCAACUCCAUAAUAAAUCCUGACGGGAGGUGGAGUUGCAUCGUCCCGACGGUCAAAGCAGCAACUCUUGCAUUAUUGCCCACGCGGAAAUCAACUUCUCCUCUUUCCACGCUUCUACUUCUUAUCAUUCCCUGCAUCGAAUUGCAAAUAUGAGCAACCGAUCCGGUAUCAAAUACCCAAGAAUUAAUAACUGUAUCAGCGAGAAAUAUGUUGUCUAUAACAUUAACAACAAGCGUACCUGAGGUAGAAGUACUCUUACUUCCGCCGUUCUUCAAGGAAGCUAGGUACUGCUUGCAGUUUCUCUUCCAGUGACCAAGUUCAUGACAGUAAAAGCACUCUUUGUCUGGAGCAGGUCCAGGUCCAGCUUUAACCUUGGGCGGUGGGUUUGGCUUGGACGUUCCAGCCUUGCCCUUCUUCUUCCAAGAAUUGCCCUUCUUCUUAAAGCUGGGCUUGUUCUGUAUCGCCAUCACAUGGCUGGUACUAGCGCUUUUCUUUAUGUCAGCCUCUGCUGUUUUAAGCAUGCCACACAGCUCAUUCAGACCCUUCUCCGUCCCAUGCAUAUGGUAGUUCGAGAUGAAGUUCCCAUAGCUAGGAGGAAGAGACGAAAGAAUGAAAUCAGUGGCCAACUCUUGGCCCAGUGGGAAGCCUAGCUUCUCCAACCGUUGAGUGUAACCAACCAUCUUGAUUACGUGUGGUCCUACUGCUGCGCCUUCUGCUAGCUUGCUCUCAACAAAGGCCUUAGACACAUUGAACCUUUUAGUCCUGGCCUGUGUUUGGAACAUGUCUCUAAGCGCCACGAUCAUAUCGUGCGCCUCAUGGUUUGUUUCGAACUGCAUCUGCAGCUCGGGUUCCAUGCAAGCGAGCAUAAGGCAGCUUACUUCGAGGUUAGCAUCACAUGCUUUCUUGUAAGCAGUCUUAGCAGCAGCGGGUGCAUCAUCAGCAGGUUCUUCUGGUAGUGGGUUGUCUAGAACAUCUUCCUUUUUCUCAGCCCUGAGAACAAUUCUCAGAUUACGGAUCCAAUCCGAGUAGUUUGUUCCAUUCAACUUGUCCUUAUCAAGGACCGAACGCAAAGCAAACGAUGUGGUGGUGUUGCUAGGUGCCAUUUAAUCUACAACAAAAGUAAUGCAAAAUACACUAAGACAAACGUAUCCAUGAUAGAGCAAAUUACAUUAAACUAUUUUAACAGAAUCUACUCCCACUAAAAUCAAUAUCCCUCUAUUGAAACUUAGUGAUUCAGGAUCCACAACUAACAAGUCUACUAGUGAGCUUUAGCAUCACCGCUAGCAAACGAGGUAGAUCGGUAAGCAACUUUUGCUAAUCAUAUCACAUAUGACUCCUAUUGUUGGGUGACAUCUCUAUGUCUCGGCGCCCAACCUUUAUGCCCCAAGGUCCUUAACUGUUAAGAUGACCUCGUUAAGCAAACCAACCCUUAUGCGUGUAAGUGUCCGACACAAACCCGUCUAGUCAAGGAAAACUAGUGGCACCCUAAUUUCAUAGACCCACCACUAAUUGUACAAGACAUGGGACGGUGCAAGUUUUAGUUGGGAGGGCAUACUAACUUAAACUUUGUGAGGGAUCAUUCUACUUCUAACAUCACGGCAUGCAGAAAGUAAAACAUAAACAGAAUAGCAUUCACACAGUUGUGACACAGUAUGGCCCGUUUUUCUUAUGGUGAUCUCCAUCUCCAUAGAACCUGUUCACCAUGGUGAUCUCCAUCUCCAUGUUCCAUGUGCGCCAUCCUCCUGGUGAUGAGUCCUCCAAGAACUAGAGCAUGCUAUUACGCCUAAUAGCUAGUAAAGAAUCUAGUAAUGAAGAUUACAUAGUUGCUUGGAUCAUCACAGAUUGGUACGCAGACCAUUAAUUACAAUAAAGUGACAACACAUAUGGCUCCUGCCGUGUUGCCGUACGCGCGACACGCAGGUCACGAAUGAGUUACACACAUGCAUCACAUACACAAGGGGGCCAUACUGAUCACAAGAUACAUACAUACAUCCUGCAAAAGAGAGUUAGGCGUCCUAACAUUCCAAACUUGGGAGGCCCGAAACUCCAUCUUCCAAGCCGAAUUUGGGAAAUCUAAUCUCGCCGAAAACGGCAAAGCCGUUGAAAUUCACGUGUAACUUUUUCUGUAGAUCAAUUUUUGUAUAGAAAUCGCCCCGAUCCGAGAUCGUACCGAAAAGUUACGGCUGAUUUACCGAAGCAUACGCAUACGGCAAAAUCCCGACCCCGGCAGUAGAUCCCAUCUACCAUUGCACAUCUAAUGCGCCUGGCGUAUGACCCUGGAUCUCGAUUCGACCAAUCAUAUUGAUCUUCCCUCACAGCAACUGGAUUUACGUGUAUCACUUAACUCCGAUGGCGGAAACCGACCGGUAGGAGUAUGUCGUUACACUACCAUUGCAGCAAGGGCACGAAAUCAGGACAUAGAUCAAACAAAAAACUCGCAUAUCUCCAUAUGCACACAUCCCGAAUCCAAAACUAAGCAGCUAAGGCUCUUGAUACCACUGUUGGGAUACGAGGUAGGCUACACUAGCGCAAAUCAAAAUUUCUACCGCGUAUAACCAGGAAGAACUGCCGUAUAAGGAUCACGGGAUUACCACUCGACGCACUACUGGUGCGGAAGAUGUAGAUAUGCGUCGAUGCAGUGAAGACGAUCACGUAGUCGUACGUAGUCGAACAACGUAGUAGUCGUACGUAGUCGAUCACGUCCAGCAACUCCUCAGCAGCUCGUCCACGUGCACAGCAAGAUUGCCUCCGGUACCGCGGCUCGUCGUCGGCUCGUCGGUGGCUCGUCGGCGGCUCGUCGGCGGCUCAUCCAAGUGCUGCAGGCGCAACACCUCCAAGGUAUCCACACGUGCAGGGAGGAAGCGUCGCAAGCCGGAUUGCUAGAUCCGCGAGUUGCAACAGGCGAGGGCGUGGGAGGCGCGGCAAGUGUGUUCAGCCAAAAAGGUGUAAACCCUAGGGCGCCCCCACCCCUCUAUUUAUAGAGGUUCCUGAUGGGCCUCUGGAUCCGAGGCCCAUUAGUACUCCUAAACCUAAUCCAACUCGGAUCAGAUCCGAAUUGGGCUUCCAGCCCCUUAAGUGUGUGACCCUAUGGGUUCGGAUACGUAUAGACAUGGCCCGAGUACUCCUACUCGGCCCAAUAGUCGGUAGCGGCCUCUAGCAAGACGUGCCAACUCCUAUACGCAUACGAAGAUCAUAUCAGACGAACCAUCACAACAUAAUAUACAUGCUAUUCCCUUUGCCUCACGAUAUUUGGUCUAGCUUCAAGCCGACCGCUCUUUCUCGAUCCUGUGAUUCGGAAUCCCUUUGUAGGUUAACUUUUAACCGUACGUAGCAUGGCCAUGCAUUUUCGGAUCCGAUCACUCGAGGGGCCCAGAGAUAUCACUCUCAAUCAGAGAGGGGCAAAUCCCAUCUUGAUUGACCAUGUCUCAUAGCAUGCUUCUUGACAAACCCGAAAGCUACCUUUAUAACUACCCUGUUACGGCGUAGCGUUUGAUAGCCCCUAAGUAGGUCGAUCCACAUCUAGAAUACAUGCGACAAUCUCAGGUCUAAGGACAAAGCGUAUAUGUUAUUUAAAGAGAGAACUACUUCUCAUGUUGGGUCAGUCCUAACACAUGUCUCCACAUGUGUCCACAUUAUUAGUUCAACAUCUCCAUGUCCAUGACUUGUGAAACAUAGUCAUCAACUAAUACAUGUGCUAGUCUAAUAUUCAUGUGUGUCCUCACAUGAACUCCGACUAGGGACAACUUUAGAAUAACCAUACACGUAAAGAGUUUCACAUACAAUUCACAUAAUUGCAAAUCAAUUCAAGUAGCCUUUAAUGGAUAUUCAAUGAACACAAUAUACAAAUCAUGGAUACAAAUGGAAUAUCAUCAUCUCUAUGAUUGCCUCUAGGGCAUACCUCCAACAAGGCCUCCAACACUGCAAGCGCAUUCUCAC
rnacentral:lncRNA from 1 species